GGGAAGGUGGCUCAGUGGUAGAGUGCUUGCCUUGCAUGCAUGAGGCCCUGCGUUCGAUUCCUUUGCA
rfam:Dipodomys ordii contig_51001, whole genome shotgun sequence.